UGAACGCUGGCGGCGUGCCUACUACAUGCAAGUCGAGCGACCGGACGAGAAGCUUGCUUUUCUGAUGUUAGCGGCGGACGGGUGAGUAACACGUGGAUAACCUACCUAUAAGACUGGGAUAACUUCGGGAAACCGGAGCUAAUACCGGAUAAUAUUUUGAACCGCAUGGUUCAAAAGUGAAAGACGGUCUUGCUGUCACUUAUAGAUGGAUCCGCGCUGCAUUAGCUAGUUGGUAAGGUAACGGCUUACCAAGGCAACGAUGCAUAGCCGACCUGAGAGGGUGAUCGGCCACACUGGAACUGAGACACGGUCCAGACUCCUACGGGAGGCAGCAGUAGGGAAUCUUCCGCAAUGGGCGAAAGCCUGACGGAGCAACGCCGCGUGAGUGAUGAAGGUCUUCGGAUCGUAAAACUCUGUUAUUAGGGAAGAACAUAUGUGUAAGUAACUGUGCACAUCUUGACGGUACCUAAUCAGAAAGCCACGGCUAACUACGUG
rnacentral:rRNA from 1 species